rnacentral:rRNA from 1 species
AUUGAACGCUGGCGGCAUGCUUUACACAUGCAAGUCGAACGGUAACAGGCCUUCGGGUGCUGACGAGUGGCGAACGGGUGAGUAAUGCAUCGGAACGUGCCCAGAGGUGGGGGAUAACGCAGCGAAAGCUGUGCUAAUACCGCAUGUGAUCUGAGGAUGAAAGCGGGGGACCAAGCAGCAAUGUUUGGCCUCGCGCCUCUGGAGCGGCCGAUGUCAGAUUAGGUAGUUGGUGGGGUAAAGGCCUACCAAGCCGACGAUCUGUAGCUGGUCUGAGAGGAUGACCAGCCACACUGGGACUGAGACACGGCCCAGACUCCUACGGGAGGCAGCAGUGGGGAAUUUUGGACAAUGGGCGCAAGCCUGAUCCAGCAAUGCCGCGUGCGGGAAGAAGGCCUUCGGGUUGUAAACCGCUUUUGUACGGAACGAAAAGGCUCUGGCUAAUACCUGGGGCUGAUGACGGUACCGUAAGAAUAAGCACCGGCUAACUACGUG